AUUGAACGCUGGCGGCAGGCUUAACACAUGCAAGUCGAACGAGUGGCGGACGGGUGAGUAAUGUUUGGGAAUCUGCCUUAUGGAGGGGGAUAACUACUGGAAACUGUAGCUAAUACCGCGUACCAUUGGAUGAGCCCAUUUUGGAUUAGGUAGUUGGUGAGGUAACGGCUCACCAAGCCGACGAUCCCUAGCUGGUCUGAGAGGAUGACCAUCCACACUGGGACGGAGACACGGCCCAGACUCCUACGGGAGGCAGCAGUGGGGAAUAUUGCGCAAUGGGGGCAACCUGACGCAGCCAUGCCGCGUGAAUGAAGAAGGCCUUCGGGUUGUAAAGUUCUUUCGGUAGCGAGGCGUUAACGACAGAAGAAGCACCGGCUAACUCCGUGCCAGCAGCCGCGGUAAUUC
rnacentral:rRNA from 1 species